ensembl:misc_RNA Metazoa_SRP Metazoan signal recognition particle RNA
GCCAGGUGUGGUGGUGCAUGCCUGUAGUCCCAGCUACUUGGGAGGCUGAGGCAGGAGAAUCGCUUGAGCCUGGGAGGUGGACGUUACAGUGAGCCAAGAUUGUGUCACUGUACUCCAGCCUGGGCAACAGAGUGAGACCCUGUCUCAA